CUGAGCCACCCACAUGCCCCGUGAGAUCUUUAUAGAGAAUAUUUUAAACCAAUAUUGAAGGGCAUAAAACAAUGACUAAGUAAACAGAAAUGCAGUAUUCAAUGAUUGGAAGAUUCUACUUUGUAAAGAUGUCCCCCGAUGAAUCUAGACCUUCUAUGUCACUCCAAUCAAAAUCCCAACCAGCUGUUGUUAAUGGAAUUUUAGAACUUGAUCCUAAAACUCAUCUGGAACAGCACAGGGGCAAAAUCAGCCAAUAAAAAUGUUAAGAACGAGGUGGAAGAACCUGGAAACACAACAAAACAAUGAAGUUCCAGCAAUAACGUCAGCAUGGUAAAGGAAGAGAUAAAUUAGAACCAUGGACCCAAACGGAAAGCUGAGAAAUACAGUCACACAUAUACGGAAAAGUCACUUAAGACAAAAGUGUUACUACAUAGCAAUAGCAGUCUGAAACUGAACUCCUAAUAUCUCCAAGGUGAAGGAACCACGGCUGGACGAGAUGAAGUGACUUGGCUGCAACCACACAGCAUCACUACUUUGGCUCAGCUUUUAUGCAGGUUUUAUUUGUCCCUACAUGCCUC